CAUAAAAAAGAAAGAGGAGUCACUGGAAGAAAAGACGAGGAAGCAGAGGUCCCUUGAGGUCACAGGGCAAGGGCUCUCCCGCCCCAAGACGACACAUGUCCCCCGUCCCCCGGAGAGCACCGGGGACCGCAGGGUGCCAGCAUACAGGCACCCAGUAGCUGGAAACCAGCAUCCAGGAAAAGGAAGUCUGCCUCUGGCCCAAAUCAGACCCCCUCCCAGCGAGGGCUCCGUCUCUGAGGACACUUUGCCCCUUAUCACCUGGAAAAAGGUGGGCAUUUCGAAGCGGCCUACUUAUGGGCCGCACCCACCCCAUGGAACAAGUACCCAGGACAAGGAUGGGCUCUUCAAGCAUACGUGAAGAGCUCUGCCUGGGGCCAGCUGCUCCUUCACCCUGCCCUGGAGACUGAAUGAGGUGCAGCUGGGAAUGGGGAAACAGAGGGGGGCAGAUGAGGACCACAUGGGACAGGAACUCAGAAGCUCAGAAGGCCAGGGCUCCUGAGACCCACAAAUUCAGGGGUGUCUGCUUUCAUCAUGGGGGUGGAGUAAGCCCAAGAGGCAUAGCCACCCCCGGGCACAGCACUAUUGCCAAAACCCUGCCCAGACCUGUGUCAGUCUCGGCCUUGCCUGUGGGGAGUGGAGCCACAAGCGAGACAGUGCUCCUGUCCACACCAGGGCGAGGGCAUGGUGAAGCCCUGGAGACUGACUG